rnacentral:rRNA from 1 species
AUUGAACGCUGGCGGCAUGCCUUACACAUGCAAGUCGAACGGUAACGCGGGGCAACCUGGCGACGAGUGGCGAACGGGUGAGUAAUGUAUCGGAACGUGCCCAGUUGUGGGGGAUAACUGCUCGAAAGAGCAGCUAAUACCGCAUACGACCUGAGGGUGAAAGCGGGGGAUCGCAAGACCUCGCGCAAUUGGAGCGGCCGAUAUCAGAUUAGGUAGUUGGUGGGGUAAAGGCUCACCAAGCCGACGAUCUGUAGCUGGUCUGAGAGGACGACCAGCCACCCUGGGACUGAGACACGGCCCAGACUCCUACGGGAGGCAGCAGUGGGGAAUAUUGGACAAUGGGCGGAAGCCUGAUCCAGCAACGCCGCGUGAGGGAUGACGGCCUUCGGGUCGUAAACCUCUUUCAGCACAGACGAAGCCUUGUCUUUUUGGGUGGGGUGACGGUAUGUGCAGAAGAAGCACCGGCCAACUACGUGCCAGCCGCCGCGGUAAAAC